CCUACGGGUGGCAGCAGUGAGGAAUAUUGGUCAAUGGACGAGCGUCUGAACCAGCCAAGUAGCGUGAAGGAUGACUGCCCUAUGGGUUGUAAACUUCUUUUAUAUGGGACUAAAAUGUUCCACGUGUGGGAUUUUGUAUGUACCAUAUGAAUAAGGAUCGGCUAACUCCGGGCCCGCCGCCGCGGUAAUAAGGAGGAACAGAGCGUUAUCCGGAUUUAUUUGGGUUAAAGGGAUCGUAGGUGGAUUGUUAAGUCAGUUGUGAAAGUUUGCGGCUCAAACGUAAAAUUGCAGUUGAAACUGGCAUUCUUGAGUAGAGGAGAGGUGGGCGGAAUGCGUGGUGUAGCGGUGAAAUGCUUAGAUAUCACGAAGAACUCCGAUUGCGAAGGCAGCUCACUGGACUGCAACUGACACUGAGGCUCGAAAGUGUGGGUAUCAAACAGGAUUAGAUACCCCUGUAGUC
rnacentral:rRNA from 1 species